AAAUGAAUGGAUCCCACUCUUAUACAGAAAAAAAAAUGAAAGAGAAUAAGUGCAAGCGGAAGGGCACUAGCGGUUGGGGGAGAAGAAAAGCUUCCAUGCGGAAGAUGGAGCUGGACCUGCUGGACCUGCUUCUGGAAAGAAGAAUAGAAUGCUGUGAGGUGGAAGUGAGAAGGUCAGGCAGGCUAGGCAUGGGGUCAGCCAAGGAAAAUGCAUGGAGGUGGGAAAUGGAGUGUCUUGUAAGAGGAAUAGAGAAAAGUAUGACGUGGUCCAUCACAGAAUGCAAAGGGGGCAGUAAUGUACAGUGAGGCUGGAAAUACAAGUUGGGAUGGGGUGGGGCAAAGGGAAAAGGAAAUCGGCCUCCAGUUGGGCUCCAGUUAAGAGCUUCACGAAGACCAAGACUCAAGGUAAGGACUUAUUUUCCCAUCGCCUCCCCCCUCUAGGCUGGUCCUCAGAGGGUCUUUUAACCUUAUCUUUGGUUUUUCUCAAGGUUGCAUUGCAAUGAACUGGUGGCUGAAACAUUUCUGGAUCCUCUUGGCCAGCACCAUAAUCCUGGUCUCAGUCACGAUGGCCCUCGUCUUGUACUGCAUCUGUCGGAGGCUGCUUAGACAAGGCAAGAACUGGAAAAUUACCAAGUCUUGGAAACACAAUAAUAAGGACAGAGAAGAGGUGUAUGAGAACUGCAUCAAUGGAAUGCCCGUAUCUUUACCUCCUCUGCCUCCCAGAAAUGUUCCAUCUUCAGAAGCUAUAGCCCAUGACUCUCAACACGAAGACAAAAGUCAGAUAUCGUAUUCAACUAUAAUGAAGAAGAGAGUUUCUAUUCCUAGUUAUAUUGAGCCUACGGCAGAUUAUGAUGAUGUUGACAUCCCUACAAAUCUAGGAUUUCAUCAUUUUGAAAAUGCUGUUUCUUCAUUUCUGCAAGAAUAAAAGGACUUGGCUUGGUUUGCCAAUACAAAGGGCAGAAGUGCUUUUAUUAAACAUUGUAAGGUAUUACUCUCUAAACUUAGGAGUAUCCAAGAUGGCCCAUGGGACAGGAAGGAAGGAAUCAAUGCUAGAAGGAAUCAUGAAGCCUUCUUCUCUGGAGGAACACAGUGCGGGACAUUAGAAUGGACAAUGGGCCUAGCUCAGUUGCUACCUCUGAGGCUAAGGAUCUGUGGGACUUUGGGCAAGUUCCUUCUUUCUGGUGCCAAAACUUCCUCCUCUGAAAAAAAGGAGGGUUGGACUCCAUUGCCUCUAAGAAUCCUUCCUGCUCUGUAUGUACGAUGUUCCCUCGUAUGGACGCAGCACUAGUUUCCUUGGUCUAAUCUAAUUUAUAUUUAUUUCUCUCUUUGUCUUAAGUAUUCUCAAAAUUUUUGACAUGUGUACAAUGUUAAAAGUAUAAGUUCCAGACCUUUUCAGUGAAAUUCCAGAGAGUCUUGUUGUCCCUCCAUUUCUGCCAUCCUGGGAAGCUCUUUAAGCACCAGGGAAGUUGCUAGGACGAUUGUUAUACCUACAUGGCUCCUUAAAGACAGAAAGUAUCUCUUUUGGGCAUCUUCUUCCAUUCUCUGUCCCCAUCCCUUAAAUAACAGUCAUUGUUGAUUGACAGUCUUCAAGACAAGGCUGAGAUUUUCCUUUAUGAUUAUACAGUGCCAACUACAUUUAUGAUACUUCAAAAAUAGUCUUUUUUUUUUAAACAAAGGACUGUAGGUGUCAGAAGCAACAGCUUAUUCAAUAAAUAAAUUUGUAAGUUGUGAGGGAAAAGAAAAUGGCCAAUUAUGAAUGGAUGGUAAUCCUCUGAAUUAGAUUUCUAUCCUAUGUUGAUUUACAGAUGACUAGAACUGGCCUGCUCAACUUUUUGUGAAAUAGGAUUCUCUUAAGUUCUUUGGUUUACUUGAUUAUCUGAAUUAAUUGAGGAAAAUGGUGAUAAAGAUAAGCCAUCACCCACCUGGAUCACCACCUCCCUCUAGACCAUGAUGGAGAUAACUCUGUACCCUGAUCUCAGAAGCCUUGGGAAGAGUGGUGCCCUCCAAACCUGCAGACCUCCAAACCAGCAGACCUGCUUCUCCCAGCUCAAGCCCCUGAUUGAGGAGAGACAUCAUGGUGGAGAAGGGACCCAUCUUCCUGGUGAUUGCCACCAACAGGCACAUGGGAACCAGACUACUGGUCCUUCUGGUCCAGCUCUGAUAGCAACCAUCCAGGGAAGCAACUCCCAAGGAAAAGGGACCACAACUACCAAGUGCCACACAUGUACAGGGCAAGCCAGGCACCCUGGGGUAGGGGGAGGCAAGAGGCAGUAAGUGGCAGGCAAGUGAAACCACUCACCAGGACCAUCCUCUCCCAUCAGACCUCAGUGAGACAGCCCAGGUCCCUGAACCCAAGGCUUCCAGCCCCAGGUCCUCAGCCAUUGUCCUGGAAAGGAGCACCUCUGGAGACACAGCCUGGCCAUGACUCUUUCAGCUACAGCUCCUGAAGACCCAGAAAGGACAGUUCUUGCCACCCAAGUUCUUGGCACUGUUGAAUGGUUCUAAGUCAGAAUCUGAGGCUUGGUCCUCUGCUUUGUUGCCAGUGUAUAAUUGAAAAUCUGUUACUCUAAAAAAGAACUACAUUUCCUGGGAGCUCACUGACUUCCUGUCAUUACAUACUUCCUGUAGACAGGGGAUAUUAGUCGGGGACAUGGAGGGUCCCACCUUUUUACCUCCUGUCCCAAGCUUGGUAGUGAUAAGGUGGGUGUUUGAACUGGCUGAUCAGCCAUGGGCACAUGGUCUUUAUUUUGUAUCCUCUUUAUUCCUUGAUUUCUAAUGAUCAUUAAUGUAUCUCCUAAAAUAUAAUAUUUUUAUUAUUGAAAUUCAAAUUUUUACAUUUUUGGCAACCAGAAGGGAUGAGAAAAACUCUCAGUUUUUUUAAAAGGAUAACCUAGAUAAAUUUUAAGCCAUGUUUCUCCAGCCAAGGCUUUUUGCCUAUCCCACCCACCCACCCUCUCUUUGGAGCUUCUGCCUUCUUAUUUCCUUACUUUUUGCCUGGUUGCCCUCCCUACUGGCCAGGCUAUUUUUAGCUGGGGGACUAAAGUGGAAGAGAUUAGUCAUUUCUCUUGUCUAUCUGCUUGAGCCCAUGUUCCUCAGUUCCUCAGUACUGCCUCUGGCAUUGCUGUUGCUUAUACUGCCUGCUCCUACUCCUGAAUCCUCCUCCUGAUUUCUGGUCCCAGCCCAGCCCCAGUCCCAGUCCUGUUGGGCUGCUAGUAGCUGCAGCUGUGUCAUCAGAAUCAGAAACUAGCUGGUAAAAACUGGGGUGUUUUUUCCUUAGGCAACGAUUAGCCUCCUAACUACCUCUCCAGGUGACUGGGGAAACUAGCAUUUUACCUCAUGGGGGGGGGGGGAAGGGAAGAAGGAAGUUAUUCUUCCAAACAGGAAGUAAAUUACAAGCAUGGCAUACUCUAUGAAAGAGCAGUACCUUGCCUAUUUCAAACAGCUUCUACCAUUAAUGAGUGCACUGAUCCUUUCACUUAUCUUUCCUGAGAUUCAGGAGAGAAAUUCAUCUCCCUACAUACUCCCUUUGCCAUUUGGGCCUGCCAUCUCUAAGAUUCAUCCAGUUUGAGAUUCCUUAAACCCCUGUUCUCCCUCACUAUGGGAAAUCCCACAGUUCUGACAAAAGGACUCCAUUGUUUUAUGAAAGUCUCUGUAUCUUAUUGUAUUUUUCUUAUUGUUUGCUUUAAGAUAUAAUUUUGUUGUUUUAAGUUCAUAUAUUAAUGUAUUCAAUACUAUUCUUACACUGAAUCAGUUUAAUCUACUGUGUUUUAACUACUGUUAUAUUCUGUUGCUUUUCAUCUAUGACUACUGAACAAAAUAUUGUAAAAUAUUAUUGAAUAAGCCCAUAUAAAAACAGCUUUUUCUUCCAUUUUGGCUUUGUAAAUUGUCACACAGAUGAUGAGUGGACUCCAUCAACCUGGUUAACAACCUUUGGUAAACUUAAUGAGCUAAAUAUCUCAAAUUGAUUUAAGGGGUCUUUAGACAUGAUUUUAAAAUUUUUCCCCAACAAAUCUGACUGAUCAUUUUGUCUACCUCUGAGUUAUUUGUAACAAGAGGUAAAGGGUCCAUUUUAGUAGCUGAAGUGCAAUACAAUUACAAUCCCCACCUCCCGCAUUUGUAAAAAUGUGAAUGGUUGAGACAUAACAGUCUCAUACCAAAGGAGCUGGGAAGUUGAUCCCAGGGCAUGGUACCCCUGGACAGUUCCCAAGAGGGAGCAUCUCUCAUUUGUAAUUCUUCAGUUUAAUUUACUUCCACCAGAACAAUCUAGAUUUCUUAGUAAUGUUCUAGACCCAAAUACGUUUUACUUUGUUUAAAAAUAUCUCAACCAAGGUUGAAAGAUUUACUACACCUGAAAAAUCUGUGAUAAGUAUCCAUUAGCUUUAAAUGUCAUACAUCAGACUCAUGUAAAAUAUGAUAGUGGGUUUGCUAUUGUCAUUAAAUGGGCUAUUAUAACUUUGGGGAUUUUGAUACUUCUUUAAUGUGCAUUACCUGUUGUACUAUUGUUCUUUAUAAAAACUGUUACUUUGUAAACAGUGGAUCAUGGCCAAGUUUGAAAAGGAAAUGGAUCUCAUUUUGGGGUGAGAAACCUUUGCAUUCUACCUUUCUUUAGCUGACACAGUGUGUCAAUGAUUGUAAGUUAUAUAUUUUUGAUUUUUAAAACUUUUUAUUAUUGUCUUUGCUUGCAUGUGCAAUAUACUAUUUCGCUUUUAUUUUUUCUCUCCUUUUUGUAUUUGAAGCACGUCACCAGUAUUGAGAAGAUUUUCUUUAACUUUUUUGAUUUUACAAUAAUAUAAGUUAAAAUAUAUAUUUGCUAUAAUAUUAAUACAUACCCAAAAAGCUUCAGACUGUAAAAAUGAUGCCAUUGAUUGUUUAAAAAAAUUAUGGGACUUUGCUAAAUGAUUGUCUGAUUCCAGGAGAAGGGAAUACAAAGAGAGCCAUUGCACAGUUCCAAAGAAGCGCAAAGCUACUUGCAUAGUGCCAAUAGAACACAAGGUCAAAGAGACCAAACCAAUCCUAUGUGGAUUGAUGACAUUCUGCGCAAAUAACGCAAGGACUUAAUCAUGUGUGAGACUUGAGGUUGCCGGCUGUUUUACAUGUGUUAAAUGCAAGUCUUCCUUGUACCACACUCUAUAUAAAAUAUAUGACAUUGAUUAUUCUGGCUCCAUCUUGGCUCCCAUUUGCUCCUAUAAUCUAGUCCCUUUUCUCUCUUAUAGUAUGGCAACUUUCUGUAGUCUUGGCUGCAGAUAGGUAAGUGAAAUAUUACUGCAUUUUGUUCUAAAGACUUGUGGGAUAGAAAUUACUUUAGUUGGGCCCUGAUUCAAGGACCUGUUAUAAAUUUAUUUUUCUUUUACUUAGAAUUUUUACACAUAAGACUUUAUAGUUUAUAUUUCAUCCAUAAAUUAUUUUCUCUUUUAUUUGGAUUUUUUUGAUGUUUUUAAUUUCUCUUGCCAAUUGAUUCAUAUACCUCAUAACUCAGCCACACAUUUCUGAGUGAUCCCUGUUUUUUCACCGCCCUCAUCAGGGGGGAAUGUAUUAUUAUUAUUAUUCUAAAAUGCAAAGUUUAAAUUAGUAAUUUUAGGUUAAGAAACAUGCUACCUCUCUGAAUCCAGAAAGUGAACUGUUUGGAGAAGGCACCAUGAAGAUGCCUCCACAGACCACACACUGCACUAGAAGAUCCAUAGUGAACUUUGGAAUGUGGCAAUUUAAACUGUGUGGGAUUGAAUGCAUUUGUUUUAUUUGAUUACUCUUAUGCCGAAGGGGACUGCCCCCUAACUGGAUUUUUGUCAAUGCACCUAGCAAUCAUUGAUCUUGUUCUCUUUUCCUUUUAUCCCCAAAUUAUUAUAAUUUCAAAGUUGGUUAUGUUUACAAAAUCCAUUGGAGAGACUAGUCUUCCACAGAUCUCAGGGGGGAAUGUAUAAUUGAAAAUCUGUUACCCUAAAAAAGAACUACAUUUCCUGGGAGCCCACUGACUUCCUGUCAUUAUGUACUUCCUGUAGACAAGGGAUAUUAGGUAGGGAUGUGGAAGGUUCCACCUCUUUAUUUCCUCUCCUGAGCUUAGUGGUAGUAAGGUAGGCAUUUGAAUUGGCUGACCAGCCAUGGGCAUGUGGUCUUUAUUUUGUAUCCUCUUUAUUCCUUGAUUUCUAAUGAUCAUUAAUAAAUCUCCUAAAAUAUAUUUUUAUUAUUGAGAUUUAAUUUUAAUUUUUACACCAACCCCUAAGGACUAGGGGACCACACCAAUCUGACCUGCAGCUUCAUGAAGCCUGUCAUAAGUGUUGUCUCCCCACUCUAGAGAAGUGACUGACUUUUCUAUGUGUAUCUCCAGCACUUUGCAAAGGGUUUUUUUUUCAUUCAUUCAUUCAUUCAUUCCAAAAAGGACCAAAACCUUACCUUCUUUUUUUUUAAUUUUUGGAAAUUUUAAUGUAUUAAUUUAGAAUAUUUUCCAUGGUUACAUGACUCAUGUUUUUUUCCCUCCUCUCCUCCCACCCCACUCCUGUAGUCAAUGUGCAAUUCCACUGGGUUUUACAUGUGUCCUUGAUCAAAACCUAUUUCCAUAUUAUUGAUAUUUGCAUUAGGGUGAUCGUUUAGAGUCUCCAUCCCCAAUCACAUCCCCAUCAAGCCAUGUGAUCAAGCAGUUGUUUUUCUUCUGUACAGAACCAUACCUUCUUAACUAUAUUGUUCACAAUCUAGCAAGCAAUUGAGCAAUAAUCAUUGAUCAAAGGGUCUGCUACAUGGCAGAAAUGAUGGUAGGCGCUUAGACUUAGACAAAAAGCAUUCUGAAUCUACCCCAAGUGCCUACAAAUGUGUUGGGUGGCUGGAAGAAGUUAACAGGAUAGAAACAGUUUGCCAUGUGUGCACAGCUAAUUCCAAAAAUGGGAUCAGAAAGAGAUUUCAUUUAACAAAUACUGGAAAUGACUGCCAUGCAUAAAGCACUUCUGGGGAAGGAAAGUCAAAUAAAAUAGAGUCUCUGCUUCCACAGUAUUUCUCAUUCAAGAGCAGAGUUAUAUGACAUAAAUAACUGUUAUUGAAGGGAGAAUGUUGGCAUUCAGCAAGAUGUGAGUGCAGGACCUGCAAGGAAAGACCAACUCAGAGAGUCCUUAAUCUUUCCUCCAAUUAGAAAUCAGAUUAUCUAAUGUAGUAUGGAUUCCUUUUAAUUAAUUGGUCUUAUUUAUUUUUAAUAUAUAAAAUCGGUCUCCCUGUAUUCAGCUCUAAGCAGAGGAAGUCUAGUAGGCUUGAUUGGUUGGGCAAUUGGCAGACGUUGCUUAAUAAAUCAAAAUGCUCAGAAGCUCGAACUUUUGUUUCCUCAGGCAUUUCAUCUUUCGCCCGCCACUCAUGGAAGGCUUUGUGAAGGUGGAGGCAUUUGAUUUGGGGUCGAUUGGAUAGUGGAGGUGAAGGAAACAGCCAGUCUAAGCAGCAGAAAUGUGAGCAAUAUGGAAACAGGAAAGCAAAGGCAUGUGUAGGGUAGUAGGAGGCAAAGCUGGAAAUGAGCAUUGGGACCAAAUUUCUGAGUGCUUGGAAUUCCACGAAAAGAAGUCGAGACUGAAGGCUUCUGAGCAGAGAUGAAGCUGGAAGCAGGAGUUUAUAAUUGGAUGCUGACUGAAUAGGAGGGGAAGAAAUUGGAGAUAAGGAGGCCAGGGAGGAAACUAUUUCAAUAGUCAGUCUGUAAGCAAAGGGACUGUA